GAUGAACGCUGGCGGCGUGCCUAAUACAUGCAAGUCGAGCGAACAGAUGAGAAGCUUGCUUCUCUGAUGUUAGCGGCGGACGGGUGAGUAACACGUGGGUAACCUACCUAUAAGACUGGGAUAACUCCGGGAAACCGGGGCUAAUACCGGAUAAUAUUUUGAACCGCAUGGUUCAAUAGUGAAAGACGGUUUCGGCUGUCACUUAUAGAUGGACCCGCGCCGUAUUAGCUAGUUGGUAAGGUAACGGCUUACCAAGGCGACGAUACGUAGUCGAGCGGAGAGGGUGAUCGGCCACACUGGAACUGAGACGCGGUCCAGACUCCUACGGGAGGCAGCAGCAGGGAAUCUUCCGCAAUGGGCGAAAGCCUGACGGAGCGACGCCGCGUGAGUGAUGAAGGUCUUCGGAUCGUAAAACUCUGUUGUUAGGGAAGAACAAAUUUGUUAGUAACUGAACAAGUCUUGACGGUACCUAACCAGAAAGCCACGGCUAACUACGUGCCAGCCGCCGCGGUAA
rnacentral:rRNA from 1 species